rnacentral:tmRNA from 4 species
GGGGAUGACAGGUUUUGACAAAUAAAUUCUUUGACAAUGCGCACGAUAGAGUUCCGGCUACUCUUUAAACAGUCGGAAAGCAUAGAUGCUAAAAACACCUUUGCAAAAGCAAUUCGUUCUCCAUUUAUGGCAAACGGAUUUGCUCUCGCUUACGCUUAAUCUUUCGAGACUAACCUAAGCGGCGGUCACUCUGUGAAGUCUGUUACCAGACGUGAUUGAUAUAUAACAGACUGGAAACUUUCCUAGUUUCGGGAAAGUUUUAAGAAAAAGAAAACUGGACUCUUAUUUAUUUUUUCAAUUUAAAGAAUAAGGGUUAAGAAAAUUAAAUUGAAUAUGUCGUGUAGAUCCAUUAUCAAAUCUUAUUUGGACGGCGAUUCAACUUCGCCCAUCUCCACAC